rnacentral:misc_RNA from 1 species
GCUCUACUUUUUUUCAUUUCUCAGAAAAUCUGAAUCUCUAGAAAUUUCGAAAUCCUUUUUUCCGAUUUACAUUUUCUUUUGCCAGUCAGUUCUUCUGCUUCGAAGAUUUCUCCUUUCAAUUCCUCUUAUCGCCUGGUUUCGGCAAAUUGGAACAGAUACGAGGGGUAGAAUUGGUAAAAGAAAGAAAUCUGCAUGAACUGGUUGGGAAAGCUGGGUUACUAUUUUCUGUCGUCGAAUUCGAACCAUUUCUUAACGCGAUUUUUGAUAUUUUUUCUUCAUUUCUCUCCUCAAUUUUCUCCAUCAUCAUUUUAUAAUAAGAAGAUAAAUUUUUCGUCGUUAUCAUCAUCAUCAUCAUCAUCGUCAAUUAGCAGUAAUCUAAUUCCUAAGUCUAUCUCUAAUCGUUGGUUAUUAUUGAAUCAUGGAGUCUGGAUUCAGGAGUAAUCGCCAGCAAUUGCGUCGAGCUCUUUGUUAUUCGAAUGAUGGGAGGA